rnacentral:tRNA from 1 species
UAAAAACUAGUUUAUAGGAACAUCUUAAUUUGACUAAGAUAGAUUUAGUGUAAUUCUAUUGUUUUUAA